AGUUUGAUCAGUGGCUCGAGGAUAGAACGCUAGCUACAGGCUUAACACAUGCAAGUCGAGGGGAAACGACAUCGAAAGCUUGCUUUUGAUGGGCGUCGACCGGCGCACGGGUGAGUAACGCGUAUCCAACCUGCCCACCACUUGGGGAUAACCUUGCGAAAGUAAGACUAAUACCCAAUGAUAUCUCUAGAAGACAUCUGAAAGAAAUUAAAGAUUUAUCGGUGAUGGAUGGGGAUGCGUCUGAUUAGCUUGUUGGCGGGGUAACGGCCCACCAAGGCAACGAUCAGUAGGGGUUCUGAGAGGAAGGUCCCCCACAUUGGAACUGAGACACGGUCCAAACUCCUACGGGAGGCAGCA
rnacentral:rRNA from 1 species